CAAUAUCCUAAUUGGGGAUAUCCCAGGUAAAUCCAAACAGGAUGUCCUGGAAAUAUCCUAUGAAGAUAUUAAAAGCCGAAUAAUCUCCAAUUUUGGGAUAUCCUAGGCAAAUUCUAGAGUGAUCCCAUCCUGGGAUGGUUCUUGGCUUUGCACAGUGCAUGGUGCAUGCGCAGUAUGACAUAUUGACGACAUGACCCGUAUCUCGCCAUUUUCUGUGUUUCUUUGUUUUAUAAGUGCGUGACUCAAUGACGUUUUUAUUAAUUUGAAAAGUGGAAAAUGAAAUUUAAAGCUUGUUAAAAUAGUUAAGUGACGUGCAUCAACCACCUGCUGGCAGAACUGGAAUUUCACAAGCACAUUGCACAAAAAAUUGCCCAGAAAAAGAUAAUGGGGAGGGCAU